rnacentral:tRNA from 1 species
UUAAUUGAAGCCAAAACUAGAGGCUUUUCAUUGUUAAUGAAAUUAUUGAUAAUAUUUUGUCCAAUUAAA